ensembl:lncRNA
UGUGUAAUAACGGAGUUUCCCACUACCCGUGAAUGCCUCUUUUUUUACGUCGCCGGCUCACUCCUCCAUCUCCGCCCACUCUCUGCUGAUCCCUGCCGGCCCGAGUGAAAGAGAUCUUUGGUUUUGCCUUUGCUGGUGACCUGCUGCAGAAGAUCCUCUCUCUCUAUCAUUAUAAGCAAUUCUGUCUAUCCUAUCACUCUCCCGACUCUAUCUAAUUUGACAGCCAUUCUAUCUUGUAUCCCUCUAUCCCUACUGCUCUAUCUAAUUUGACAGCCAUUCUAUCUUGUAUCCCUCUAUCCCUACUGCUCUAUCUAAUUUGACAGCCAUUCUAUCUUGUAUCCCUCUAUCUCUACUGCUCUAUCUAAUUUGACAGCCAUUCUAUCUUGUAUCCCUCUAUCCCUACUGCUCUAUCUAAUUUGACAGCCAUUCUAUCUUGUAUCCCUCUAUCCCAAGCGCUCUAUCUAAUUUCAGAAUCCAAGUUUUCAGAAAUCCAAGUUUUCAGAUUCCAAGUUUUCAGAAAUCCAAGUACCAGUACUUGAUCUAUCUGUUACAGAAUUCUGAGAGAUCUCUGCUCUCACUGCUCCUUCUUUCCUGUCAUUAAACUCUCUCACAUUCAGUCAUUUUGCUGAAAAUUACAAUUAGAAAGUUGAAUAUACAGUAGUAGAAUAUCAGUACAGUAGAACUUAUAGUAGUAACUACUUAUACAGCCCUACAUUUGUAGUUUUAACUUGGCAUUACUCUUUGGAAUAAACACUGAUAGUUUGGCUUACUGGUGCAAUUACUUUGAUACAUUAUAUAAAAUAUACACCUUUUGAAAGGUUUAUUUGUAAUAAGAUAAUCUGACUAUUCUGUAAUAUAUUCAGAGUGCUAUAUUCACAUAAAUAUUAAAUUUGAUUCAAAUACAUUUUUC